AGAGUUUGAUCCUGGCUCAGGAUGAACGCUGGCGGCGUGCUUAACACAUGCAAGUCGAGCGAAGCACUUAAGUUUGAUUCUUCGGAUGAAGACUUUUGUGACUGAGCGGCGGACGGGUGAGUAACGCGUGGGUAACCUGCCUCAUACAGGGGGAUAACAGUUAGAAAUGACUGCUAAUACCGCAUAAGACCACAGCACCGCAUGGUGCGGGGGUAAAAACUCCGGUGGUAUGAGAUGGACCCGCGUCUGAUUAGCUGGUUGGUAAGGUAACGGCUUACCAAGGCGACGAUCAGUAGCCGACCUGAGAGGGUGACCGGCCACAUUGGGACUGAGACACGGCCCAAACUCCUACGGGAGGCAGCAGUGGGGAAUAUUGCACAAUGGGGGAAACCCUGAUGCAGCGACGCCGCGUGAAGGAUGAAGUAUUUCGGUAUGUAAACUUCUAUCAGCAGGGAAGAAAAUGACGGUACCUGACUAAGAAGCCCCGGCUAACUACGUGCCAGCAGCCGCGGUAAUACGUAGGGGGCAAGCGUUAUCCGGAUUUACUGGGUGUAAAGGGAGCGUAGACGGAUUGGCAAGUCUGAUGUGAAAGGCAGGGGCUCAACCCCUGGACUGCAUUGGAAACUGCCAGUCUUGAGUGCCGGAGAGGUAAGCGGAAUUCCUAGUGUAGCGGUGAAAUGCGUAGAUAUUAGGAGGAACACCAGUGGCGAAGGCGGCUUACUGGACGGUAACUGACGUUGAGGCUCGAAAGCGUGGGGAGCAAACAGGAUUAGAUACCCUGGUAGUCCACGCCGUAAACG
rnacentral:rRNA from 1 species